AUGGGAGUGAUGCCAUGGUGGGAUACAGGUGACAUUGAUUCAGUUCCUGCCAUUGUCACCGGUCUUCCCAUGAAUGUGUCUCUCACUAACUGUGGGUGCACAGCACCUAGCAUGAUGGGGCCUCCAGACUUGUUAUAUGUUCCUGUUCAUUCUUGCGUAGGUGCCUGUUCUCAGCCAGUUCUGACUCAGCCCUCCUCAGCGUCUGUGUCACCAGGACAAACAGCCAAACUGUCUUGUACCAUCAGCAGUGACUACAGCCCUAGCAGCGCCAAUCUGGAUUGGUACCAACAGGGAUCUGGCCAAGCCCCUCGCUUUGUCUUGCGUCGCACCAGCAGCAGAGGUGUUGGAGUCUCAGACCGAUUCACUGGUUCUAGCUCUGGCAAUGUUGCUUAUUUAACCAUCACCAAUGUCAAGGCAGAGGAUGAGGAUGAUUAUUAUUGUGCCCUAUGGUGGGCUGGCUGUGAGUGAAGCAUGUCCAUCACCUCCUGAGCCAUCCUCCUAACCCUGCAAGAGCUGCCAGCACCAAUGACCCCGUGAGGACCUGGAGCAGGAACACAUCGCCUGCCUGUGUGCC